UAUAGUGAUGUUUGGCAGUAAUUACUGAAAAGCUGUAUGUUUAGUAAAACGGCGAAGACGGAAUCAUGUACUUUUCAAGUAAGUUACUCACGUGCAUGCGAUAACUUAACAAAGGUUAAGGAACUUUUAUUCUGAAAAUAGUCCUCAGUUUCACAUUUAACGGCGCAUAUCUAAUCUAAAAAUCCGAACUAUUAAAUCAAGCGAUAAUUCCCGAAAGUUCAUCAAAAUUGUUGAGGCUUACGAUUGAUAAGCAGUGACCAUGCAGACAUGGACACACACUCACCCGAUUAAGUGUUUGCGUUCACAUGUACAAGCAAUAUGAGAAUCAUUUAAAUAAAAAAAAAUAAAAUUAUAUUGACAAGACAACGUUAUUUACAAUGACACAUUAAAAGAUUUUAAAACGGAC
rnacentral:lncRNA from 1 species